GCCUAGGUAGCUCAGUAGGUAGAGCAGAGGACUGAAAAUCCUCGUGUCGUUGGUUCAAUUCCGGCCCUAGGCACCA
rnacentral:tRNA from 1 species